AACGAACGCUGGCGGCAGGCUUAACACAUGCAAGUCGAGCGCCCCGCAAGGGGAGCGGCAGACGGGUGAGUAACGCGUGGGAAUCUACCCAUCUCUACGGAAUAACGCACGGAAACGUGUGCUAAUACCGUAUACGUCCUUCGGGAGAAAGAUUUAUCGGAGAUGGAUGAGCCCGCGUUGGACUAGCUAGUUGGUGGGGUAAAGGCCUACCAAGGCGACGAUCCAUAGCUGGUCUGAGAGGAUGAUCAGCCACACUGGGACUGAGACACGGCCCAGACUCCUACGGGAGGCAGCAGUGGGGAAUAUUGGACAAUGGGCGCAAGCCUGAUCCAGCCAUGCCGCGUGAGUGAUGAAGGCCCUAGGGUUGUAAAGCUCUUUCACCGGUGAAGAUAAUGACGGUAACCGGAGAAGAAGCCCCGGCUAACUUCGUGCCAGCAGCCGCCGUAAGAC
rnacentral:rRNA from 1 species